ACUCCUACGGGAGGCAGCAGUGGGGAAUUUUGGACAAUGGGCGAAAGUCUGAUCCAGCAAUGCCGCGUGUGUGAAGAAGGCCUUCGGGUUGUAAAGCACUUUUGUCCGGAAAGAAAUCCUUGGCUCUAAUACAGUCGGGGGAUGACGGUACCGGAAGAAUAAGCACCGGCUAACUACGUGCCAGCAGCCGCGGUAAUACGUAGGGUGCGAGCGUUAAUCGGAAUUACUGGGCGUAAAGCGUGCGCAGGCGGUUUGCUAAGACCGAUGUGAAAUCCCCGGGCUCAACCUGGGAACUGCAUUGGUGACUGGCAGGCUAGAGUAUGGCAGAGGGGGGUAGAAUUCCACGUGUAGCAGUGAAAUGCGUAGAGAUGUGGAGGAAUACCGAUGGCGAAGGCAGCCCCCUGGGCCAAUACUGACGCUCAUGCACGAAAGCGUGGGGAGCAAACAGGAUUAGAAACCCUAGUAGUCCCAUG
rnacentral:rRNA from 1 species